UGUUUUAUGCUUCUCUUUUAUAACCCUUGAGGCUUUCACUUUUAGUUUUCCAGUACUUGGUUUUUUAAGUUAUUACUUCAUGUGAUUGAGUCCCUAUCUGUCUUUUCAUUCAAAUUGAAUAGCAUGUGAGUUUCUAAAUCCUCCCAAAAAUACCCUCACAUGGCCCCUUUUUAGCUUAUGCUCUCUACCCUUAUAUGGAAAAAUAGUGAGAUUCUUAUUUCACAUGCUUGUGUCAAGAUAUCAUUGUUUGCCCAUUACUGUCAGAAAUUACAUUAAAAAACGGGCAAAACUUCUUGAGGAAGUAGCUUCUUGAAGAAGUAGCUUCUUGAGAAAGUCUAUCCAGAUUAUUCAAAUGGUUGGUUGAAGAGUAUAUAAGUCAGAGGAUUUUCUGGUCAAGUUGCUCGAGGCAUACUUCGUGGUUAAUGAAUCUUUACAAGAAAAUAGUCGCAGUGGAAGCAUGGCGGUAUUAAUCAUCUUCAUAAAUGGACUUUCCUAAUAAAGUACAGUUAACAUAUGCACAUACAAACAAUAAGAUAAUUUAUUGUUUUGUAUUCAAAAAACUAUGUUUGUAUUUUGUUGUUAGACUAUAUAUUAAUUGUUUCAGUUUCAUUUUUGUUACCCA